GUUUCUGAAUAAGGUCACAUUCUGAGGUUGGAGGUGGACAUGAAUUUUGGAGGGACACUAUUUAACCCACUACUGCUAACCCAGCUUGAGGAGCCUAAGCCAACUGCUGGUCUGUGUGCUUCAUGCACCAAACCCAGCACUUCCAGCCUCCCAGAAGACAGAGUGAGAGCCCCAGAGUGAGAUACAGAAACAUGGAGAUCCCAAACAGACCGAAAGAUGGUGGCAUGGAGGCUGGGAAAGGGAAGGAGAUGGCAUUUUCCAGGAAAUCACAAACUAAGCAGAAACUCAAAAGAAAAAUACAACCAAGUGCCAACUAUUUUUUGACAGAAAUGUGAAUUUAAAAGUCAAGCACCCAAGAACCCCAGCUAUCUCAUCAACACUUCAGAUGCCUCAGAAACACAUUGGAAUUUUUAAAAAUUGAUUCUGCGAAUCUCCCCCUUCCACUUCUCUUCUGACCACGUGGGGUUCGCAGCAGAAUACACACGAUAUAGACACAUUCCCUGAAGUGUAAUAGAUUUGAAUUGCACA